UGGUCUUGUUGCUGGUGCAGCUCUUCCAUUCUCAAGGUCUCAUGGCACAAUAAAUCAGAGUAUCGGUUACCGAAGGACAAAUUGUAACUUUGGUCUCUGAAUUAAAAGUUUAUUAAAAUUAGUACUAUGAAUUUUGUUCAAAAAAAAAAAAAAGUUAAUGAAUUUUGGCAAAAUUUGGAGCAUUUGUCGUGACACCAACUUCGUGCUAGUGGGUCUCUCCGAAUUAUCUAUUCUAAAGUUAAGAGGGAUUUUAGGGUUUAUAAAUUAGGGCUCUUGGGGAUUUUAGGGUUUUCUCACUCUUUUUAUUUUUUCAGAAAUUGCACUGUAUUUCUCAGAUUUUGAAAAAAUGGGCUUAAUUUUGUUUUUGUUUUUUUUUUCUCUCAUCUCUCUGGUAAUUACUCUGAACCCCCAAAAGAUUUGAAAUUUCUGGUAAUUUUUCUCAUUGUUUUUGACGAUUUGUUGUUAGAAUUUGUAUAAAUUGCUGCCAAUGUGUUGUGAACUAGUAGAAAAUUGGGGUUUCAAGCAAAUGACGAGAUGGGUAUGUGGGUAAGCCAAUAAAAAUCCACGCUUUCAUCUGUUUGUUUGAUUAAAUAUAGUUUUUGUCCUUUUCAACCCUCUUUGUCAAUUGUGUAGGAAAUGUUUGAUUUUGCUUGGGUUUCUUGAGAGUUCAGCAACAUCAGGUACUUUUUGAUCCAAUCAACCACAAAACCUGGUAUGCUCUUUUCAAAAUUUUCAAUUUUA
rnacentral:sRNA from 1 species